UGUAAAAAUUUGCUGUAACUCAUGCAGUAAAAUACUGUGAUUUACAACAGUAAUAUGUUGUAAUAACGAUUUUACGAUAAUUAACUGUAUAAGUACGUUGCUGUACAGUAUAUUGCUGUAAACAUCAGUGUCGUAGAGCAUGGGAACAAAUAUCUACAGUAAGCUAGUGUAAAGGAGCGUGCAAAAAGCAUUGUGGGAUACAGCGCACAUGCGCAUUAGGCGGAUCGGCUGCAUAUGCGCGUAUGCGUUGCACGUGAUUGGCUCCCGCGCUAGCCCGCCACGCCGCGCCGCCAUUUUUAAUUUUCUGCAAAGAUUUGAGCUGAGAUAUAUAGCUGAGCUGGCCGCCUGAUCCUGAGCAACGAAUCUGAAUCUGUUCUGUUCCUGGUCCUGAUCCUCGAGCUGGGAUAUUGAUGACCAAUAAGUCAAUUCCAAGGGGAUCCGAGUAUGCCAUGGAUUACUGCUGAAGUCACACAGUGUGCAUGCUGAAACACUAAUCAGACGGAUGCUCUACAUGGACAUCAUAUACCCAUGUACGUUUGUAAGCUAUGUAAUCAUUCUUCUGGAUCAUUGAAGCGGUUUUCUGAACACUUUUCAGUCCAUAGAAAUGUGGUGAAUUUCGAUUUCCCGUGUGGUGUUCCUGGCUGCAAUCGAACAUUCAGAAAUUAUUCAUCCUUCAAAACCCAUGUGCAUAGGGAUCAUCAACCAUUUUCAAGAAAAAAAGAUGCCCAGUUUUUCUGCGUUUCUACCUGGAAUUGUCCACUCUGUGCUGUAAAAUGUGAGGAAAUCCAUGACAUACUUUCUCAUCUUAGAGUUCAUAUCAAACACGGAGUUGAAAUACGCUGUCCUUUU
rnacentral:lncRNA from 1 species